CGCCGUGCCUAUACAUGCAGUCGAACGCACUCUCGUUAGAUUGAAGAAGCUUGCUUCUGAUUGAUAACAUUUGAGUGAGUGGCGGACGGGUGAGUAACACGUGGGUAACCUGCCCUAAAGUGGGGGAUAACAUUUGGAAACAGAUGCUAAUACCGCAUAAAACCUAGCACCGCAUGGUGCAAGGUUGAAAGAUGGUUUCGGCUAUCACUUUAGGAUGGACCCGCGGUGCAUUAGUUAGUUGGUGAGGUAAAGGCUCACCAAGACCGUGAUGCAUAGCCGACCUGAGAGGGUAAUCGGCCACACUGGGACUGAGACACGGCCCAGACUCCUACGGGAGGCAGCAGUAGGGAAUCUUCCACAAUGGACGAAAGUCUGAUGGAGCAACGCCGCGUGAGUGAAGAAGGUUUUCGGAUCGUAAAACUCUGUUGUUGGAGAAGAACGUAUUUGAUAGUAACUGAUCAGGUAGUGACGGUAUCCAACCAGAAAGCCACGGCUAACUACGUGCCAGCAGCCGCGGUAAUACGUAGGUGGCAAGCGUUGUCCGGAUUUAUUGGGCGUAAAGCGAGCGCAGGCGGUUUCUUAAGUCUGAUGUGAAAGCCUUCGGCUCAACCGAAGAAGUGCAUCGGAAACUGGGAAACUUGAGUGCAGAAGAGGACAGUGGAACUCCAUGUGUAGCGGUGAAAUGCGUAGAUAUAUGGAAGAACACCAGUGGCGAAGGCGGCUGUCUGGUCUGUAACUGACGCUGAGGCUCGAAAGCAUGGGUAGCAAACAGGAUUAGAUACCCUGGUAGUCCAUGCCGUAAACGAUGAGUGCUAGGUGUUGGAGGGUUUCCGCCCUUCAGUGCCGCAGCUAACGCAUUAAGCACUCCGCCUGGGGAGUACGACCGCAAGGUUGAAACUCAAAGGAAUUGACGGGGGCCCGCACAAGCGGUGGAGCAUGUGGUUUAAUUCGAAGCAACGCGAAGAACCUUACCAGGUCUUGACAUCCUUUGACCACUCUAGAGAUAGAGCUUUCCCUUCGGGGACAAAGUGACAGGUGGUGCAUGGUUGUCGUCAGCUCGUGUCGUGAGAUGUUGGGGUUAAGUCCCGCAACGAGCGCAACCCUUAUUACUAGUUGCCAGCAUUUAGUUGGGCACUCUAAUGGAGACUGCCGGUGACAAACCGGAGGAAAGUGGGGGACAACAUCAAAUCAUCAAGGCCCCUUAUGAACCGGGGGGUACACACGUGGUUCCAAUGGGAGGUUUCACCCCAAUCACGG
rnacentral:rRNA from 1 species